rnacentral:rRNA from 1 species
CCAAUAGCGUAUAUUAAAGUUGUUGCAGUUAAAAAGCUCGUAGUUGAACUUCGGGGUUCACCCAUUGGUCAGGCUUAAUUGUCUGUACUGGUGAGAUGAGUCUCUACCUUCUGAGGAACUUUCAUGCCAUUUAUUUGGUGUGAUUGGAAAUCAGGACUGUUACUUUGAAAAAAUGAGAGUGUUUAAAGCAGGCUAACGUCUGAAUACAUUAGCAUGGAAUAAUGAAAUAGGACGGAUUGAUUCUAUUUCGUUGGUUUCUAGGGUCACCGUAAUGAUUAAUAGGGAUAGUUGGGGGCAUUAGUAUUCAAUUGUCAGAGGUGAAAUUCUUGGAUUUAUUGAAGACUAACUACUGCGAAAGCAUUUGCCAAGGAUGUUUUCAUUAAUCAAGAACGAAAGUUAGGGGAUCGAAGACGAUCAGAUACCGUCGUAGUCUUAACCAUAAACUAUGCCGACUAGGGAUCGGACGCAGUUAAUUUUAUAAUGACGUGUUCGGCACCUUACG